rnacentral:rRNA from 1 species
AACGAACGCUGGCGGCAGGCCUAACACAUGCAAGUCGAACGAACCUUCGGGUUAGUGGCGCACGGGUGCGUAACACGUGGGAAUAUACAUUUCGGUAAGGAAUAACACAGAGAAAUUUGUGCUAAUACCUUAUAAUGACUCCGGUCCAAAGAUUUAUCGCCGAAGGAUUAGCCCGCGCUAGAUUAGUUUGUUGGUGAGGUAAGAGCUCACCAAGACUACGAUCUAUAGCUGGUCUUAGAGGAUGAUCAGCCACACUGGAACUGAGACACGGUCCAGACUACUACGGGAGGCAGCAGUGAGGAAUAUUGGACAAUGGGGGCAACCCUGAUCCAGCCAUGCCGCGUGAAUGAAGAAGGCCUUAGGGUUGUAAAAUUCUUUCAGAUGCGAAGAUAAUGACGGUACCAUCAGAAGAAGCUCCGGCUAAAUUCGUG